UACGGGGGGGGCAAGCGUUGUUCGGAAUUACUGGGCGUAAAGGGCUCGUAGGUGGCCAACUAAGUCAGACGUGAAAUCCCUCGGCUUAACCGGGGAACUGCGUCUGAUACUGGAUGGCUAGAGAUUGGGAGAGGGAUGCGGAAUUCCAGGUGUAGCGGUGAAAUGCGUAGAUAUCGUAAGGAAGACCAGUGGCGAAGGCGGGUCUCUGGACAGUUCCUGACGCUGAGGCACGAAGGCCAGGGGAGCAAACGGG
rnacentral:rRNA from 1 species